rnacentral:rRNA from 1 species
UACGAAGGGUGCGAGCGUUGUUCGGAAUUACUGGGCGUAAAGCGUGCGCAGGCGGCUUUGCAAGACAGAUGUGAAAUCCCCGGGCUUAACCUGGGAACUGCAUUUGUGACUGCAUGGCGGGAGUGCGGCAGAGGGGGAUGGAAUUCCGCGUGUAGCAGUGAAAUGCGUAGAUAUGCGGAGGAACACCGAUGGCGAAGGCAAUCCCCUGGGCCUGCACUGACGCUCAUGCACGAAAGCGUGGGGAGCAAACAGG